rnacentral:rRNA from 1 species
CCUACGGGGGGCAGCAGUGGGGAAUAUUGCACAAUGGGGGAAACCCUGAUGCAGCAACGCCGCGUGAAGGAAGACGGUUUUCGGAUUGUAAACUUCUGUUCUUAGUGAAGAAUAAUGACGGUAGCUAAGGAGCAAGCCACGGCUAACUACGUGCCAGCAGCCGCGGUAAUACAUAGGUGGUAAGCGUUGUCCGGAAUUACUGGGGGUAAAGGGAGCGGAGGCGGGAUGCCAAGACAGCUGUGAAAACUACGGGCUUAACUUGUAGACUGCAGUUGAAACUGGUUUUCUUGAGUGAGGUAGAGGUUAGCGGAAUUCCAGGUGUAGGAGUGAAAUCCGUAGAUAUCUGGAGGAACAUCAGUGGCGAAGGCGACUAUCUGGCACAUAACUGACGCUGAGGAGCGAAAGCGUGGGUAGCAAACAGGAUUAGAUACCCUAGUAGUC